rnacentral:tRNA from 1 species
GCCCUCGUAGGCUAAUUGGAUAAACCGCAGGGUUUCUAUCCCUGAUUUGGAGGUUCGAAUCUUCCCGAGGGCGCUA